rnacentral:lncRNA from 1 species
UGAAGGGCGGAGCCCACGGUCUCCCUGCCCGGGCGCCUCCUUACUGGACCAGGAGAGCCGAGUGUCCGCGGCAGGGACGCUCGCUCGGCAGCCCUCGGCGCGGCUCCAGGGGCGGCAGAGGUCGCGGAAGGUAAGCGCAGGAGGAAGAGCUCCAGAAGCGCCUAGAAGCUGGGCGGAGCGGCGAGGGUGGGCUCGGUGCUGCCCCAUGCAGGGCCCGAGGGCAGGCUCAGGGGAGUUCGGGGCCUGGGCGGCGGGCUGUGGCCUCUGCACGGGAAGGGGCGCAGCUGCACGCGAGCAGGAAGCAUGCGGGCUGCCGCCCACCCCGAAGCUGGGAGGAGCCAGGCCCGGCUACCUGCAUCCCGAAGCCCGGCAGUGACACCACCGUGACCCGUGCUUCCCACAUGUCUCUGAGGCGGAAAGGUGCGGAACCGAGUGGAGGGGCGUCACGGAGAGGCCUGUCUGCGUGGUACCGGGGGACCCUGAGCUCCAGCUGCAAACAUCGUGGUUGUUCCAGCAGCAGUUUUCACUCACGCGGCUUUGUCCUUUGAGGCUUGUUACCCACGCUGCCUCUGACUCAGCGACGGGAGGGCCUGAGACCCACGUCUGAACAAUCUCUCCAGUGAUGUCAGUUCUGUCGACCCAGCACAAACACAGAAUUCCAAGGAACCAGCAGAUCUGGAGGUUCUGUUGAAUCAUAAAAACACAUUUGAAUUUCUUGCGUGCUAAUUAUAUUGUAUUGUUUUCCAGUGCUUGGAGACUCAAUAAACUUCCAUCCUAA